rnacentral:rRNA from 1 species
AGCAGCAGCCAUACCACCCUGCAUUCCUCUGCUGGCUCUGAUGCUAAGCUAAGCAGAGAUGGCCUUGGUCAGUACUUUGACGGGAGACUUCCUGGGAAAACCUGGGUUAUGUUC